CGGUGAAGGCCAUGGAAACUCCCGGAAAAACAGCACUACUUCUUCUUCUCUAUCUUCAGGUCAUUCCUUCUCUUCAUUUCUCACGAUGGGAAUAUUCCAGCCCAAAGGUGUUGUUUACAAAUCGGCGGCAAAGGUUGAUCUCGGUCCUCACAGUGGUGAAUUUUAUCUCCGCGCUAAUGUCAAAGCUCCUCGCAUGGCUGGAUUGCUGGUUAAAAUCUUUGCACUGCUUCUGGAGUCGAGGAUUUUGGGGCCUAUUCUGCUCUACUUUCUCAAGAGAAACAAUCUUAUUCACAAGCUUGUUUCAUAUGCGGAUUUGGAAGAAGAUCCUGUAUUUGUUCCAUUGCAACCUUAUGAAGAUAUCAAAGAACAAGAUGUAAAAAGCUUAGAAUCCAAUCUAUCUCCAGCUGUUCUAGUGCAGGAGGCUGUGGAUUGCUUAAAUCCACCGCAGACUAUAUUAAGUAACCCAAACUUCAGUUUUCGCCACUGGACUAUAUUAGAUUACUCGAGCGCCUAUAUUUCAAGGAAGAUCAAUCCACGGAUGGUUGCAGAAAGAUUUAUAGUUGCAGUACGCCAAUCUUCUGAACCUUCUCUCAACAUGUCCUUCUUCAUCAAUUACAAUGUUGAAGAUAUUCUUCGACAAGCCACAGAGUCCACUCUUCGGUUUGAAAGAGGACAACAGUUGUCAGCUUUGGAUGGAGUACUUGUCGCUGUCAAGGAUGAAAUAGAUUGCCUACCCUAUCAAACUACAGGAGGCACAAGGUGGUUGCAUAAAGUAAGAUCGUGCAAAGAUGAUGCAUGUUGUAUCAAACGCUUACGAAUAUGUGGUGCCAUACUUGUGGGAAAGGCAAAUAUGCAUGAGCUGGGUGCAGGAACCAGUGGUAUUAAUCCUCACUACGGGGCAACUAGAAACCCAUAUAAUCGCGACAAGAUCUCUGGAGGUUCUUCUGGUGGAUCUGCUGCUGUAGUUGCUGCUGGAUUGUGUCCAGUUGCCCUUGGUGUUGAUGGGGGAGGAUCUGUUAGAAUGCCCGCCGCUCUAUGUGGUGUUAUUGGUUUGAAGCCAACUUUUGGACGUAUUUCACCAUUAGGUGUUCUUCCUCUGAGUUGGACGGUCGGGAUGGUUGGAGUUCUUGCAGGAACUAUUGAGGACGCGUUCAUUGUGUAUGCAGCUAUUAGUGGUGAACUUCCCAUGCAUCAUUCUAGAACGUAUUCUAACAUACAUUUACCAGUGCUGAAAUCCCCCAAUUAUAUAUCAGGUGUCAGGCUAGCUAAAUAUGGAGAGUGGUUCAAUGAUUGUGCCAAUGAUGUUAGAAUUUGUUGUUCCUCUGCUGUUGACAAGCUUCAUAAGCAAUAUGGAUGGGAGGUUGUAGACAUUACUGUUCCAGAGAUAGAAGCGAUGCGUCUGGCUCAUUAUCUAACGAUUGGCUCAGAGUGUAGCAAUGCGGUUGCUUCAUAUCUCGAAAAGUUGGGUAGGACAGAAUUAGGCUGGGAUGCAAGGGUUGCACUAUCUGUUUAUGGUUCUUUCAGCAGCAGGGAGUAUCUAAAUGCUCAAAAAAUCAGGAACCGUCAAAUGCAAUUCUACAAGGAUAUAUUCACCAACGCAGAUGUCAUUGUCACACCAACAACAGGGUCCUAAAUUUUGAACAUAUUGCUCAUUUUGUCUCGAGCAGCUAAUUGCUGUUCAAUAACAAGCACAAUUAUCCUCUAUAUUUAUACUAUGGGGAAACCAUUGUCUGUUUUACAGGGUAACUGCAUACACAAUAUACAAUGAUGCUUUCAAAACCGGUGAACUUGACUACGUAAAUGGAGCUGCCCUUGUUAGAUAUUCAAUAGGAGGGAAUUUCUUGGGUUUGCCAGCUGUCAGUGUACCAGUUGGAUUUGACAAAAAUGGCUUGCCUAUUGGACUUCAGUUCAUUGGGAGACCAUGGUCUGAAGCUACAUUAAUUCAAAUAGCUUAUGCUAUGCAGGCUUUGUGCAUUUCAGACUGUAGAAAACCAGAAGUUUUCUUUGAUCUGCUCAAAGAGGAUUGAAUACCCAAAUGGCAGACAUUUAUCAAACCUUCAUCCAUGGUUAGGGUUU